rnacentral:rRNA from 1 species
CCUACGGGCGGCAGCAGUGGGGAAUAUUGCACAAUGGAGGGAACUCUGAUGCAGCGACGCCGCGUGAGUGAAGAAGGUCUUCGGAUCGUAAAACUCUGUCCUUGGUGAAGAAAAGGACUGUAGCCAAGGAGGAAGCCCCGGCUAACUACGUGCCAGCAGCCGCGGUAAUACGUAGGGGGCGAGCGUUGUCCGGAUUUACUGGGCGUAAAGGGUGAGUAGGCGGUAAUAUAUGUCAGGUGUAAAAGGUCAUGGCUUAACCAUGGUUAGCACUUGAAACUGUAUGACUUGAGUGCAGGAGAGGUAAGCGGAAUUCCUAGUGUAGCGGUGAAAUGCGUAGAUAUUAGGAGGAACACCAGUGGCGAAGGCGGCUUACUGGACUGUAACUGACGCUGAGUCACGAAAGCGUGGGUAGCAAACAGGAUUAGAUACCCCUGUAGUC